rnacentral:rRNA from 1 species
CCUACGGGAGGCAGCAGUGAGGAAUAUUGGUCAAUGGACGAGAGUCUGAACCAGCCAAGUAGCGUGAAGGAUGACUGCCCUACGGGUUGUAAACUUCUUUUAUAAAGGAAUAAAAUGAGGCACGUGUGCCUUUUUGCAUGUACUUUAUGAAUAAGGAUCGGCUAACUCCGUGCCAGCAGCCGCGGUAAUACGGAGGAUCCGAGCGUUAUCCGGAUUUAUUGGGUGUAAAGGGAGCGUAGAUGGGUUGUUAAGUCAGUUGUGAAAGUUUGCGGCUCAACCGUAAAAUUGCAAUUGAUACUGGCAGUCGUGAGUGCAGGUGAGGUAGGCGGAAUUCGUGGUGUAGCGGUGAAAUGCUUAGAUAUCACGAAGAACCCCGAUUGCGAAGGCAGCUUACUAAACUGUGACUGACAUUGAUGCUCGAAAGUGUGGGUAUCAAACAGGAUUAGAUACCCGAGUAGUC